AAAUUGAAGAGUUUGAUCAUGGCUCAGAUUGAACGCUGGCGGCAGGCCUAACACAUGCAAGUCGAACGGUAACAGGAAACAGCUUGCUGUUUCGCUGACGAGUGGCGGACGGGUGAGUAAUGUCUGGGAAACUGCCUGAUGGAGGGGGAUAACUACUGGAAACGGUAGCUAAUACCGCAUAAUGUCGCAAGACUAAAGAGGGGGACCUUCGGGCCUCUUGCCAUCGGAUGUGCCCAGAUGGGAUUAGCUAGUAGGUGGGGUAACGGCUCACCUAGGCGACGAUCCCUAGCUGGUCUGAGAGGAUGACCAGCCACACUGGAACUGAGACACGGUCCAGACUCCUACGGGAGGCAGCAGUGGGGAAUAUUGCACAAUGGGCGCAAGCCUGAUGCAGCCAUGCCGCGUGUAUGAAGAAGGCCUUCGGGUUGUAAAGUACUUUCAGCGGGGAGGAAGGGAGUAAAGUUAAUACCUUUACUCAUUGAC
rnacentral:rRNA from 1 species